UUUGAUAAUCCUUUAGUACUAUUAUUUACUUUUGUUUUUUGUUUUACGUGUUCCAAUGUUUUUAUUUUUUUGGAUUGAAGUCUUUUGUUGCAGUAAUACACAGUAAAAGGUCCAAAACGCAAGAUUUGGAAUAAAAAUAAAACACUCCCAUUAAAAAAAUACAUAAAACGCAAGAUUAAAUAAAAUAUAUAGUAAGAGUAAAACCAAAACUCCAGCCCACAAGUCUUAUUAAUAGCAACGUCAACCACAGCCCAGAUUUAAAAUAUUGUAUUAGAAAAAAAUAAAAGCAGUGAACCCAAAAUACAAGAGUCAAGACUAGGGGCAGCAAAGAAAGAGUGUGUCAAAGAGAUAUCAAAUCUUAAAUCAGAGAAGAGAGAGGAAAAUAAACUCAAACUAGAGAAGAGAAGGUCAUACCUCAGCCAAUUCUACUAGUGUGUGAGUGUGAACAAUAGAUCAGACAGAAAAGUGAAGGUAUGACACCAAGCCACCAACAGAAGGGAUUCAAAUUGGGUCAGUAGUGACUAGUGAAGAGGAAGAAUAAGAUUAUGCAAAUUGCUAAAGCAGAGCUAAGAGAGAAAGACAGAGAGAGAAACAAUACAGGUGGUUGUGGGUCCCGAACAAGAAAAAUAGGCCCGCCCACAUUUUCAGGGACAGGUAUCGCGAGCAACUAGCUUCCAUGUUGCCAGACCAGGUGGUGUGGCAGCCAUAUGAAGCUCAUUUUGACGACCUCCCGCCGUGGUGUGUUGCAGGGAGGGCCGUAUGGACGGCAACGGUGCCGCUUGUAUGUUUCCACCUAGUAGAGAAACAUACACCGGAUCGUGUUGUUCGUCAAUUUGGGAUGAUCCAAGAAAUUCCCGAAGCUGUUAACACUGACAGAGUGCUUCAUGGCAUUGAUUUGAGGGGGAAGAUCGGUGUUAAUUGGAUGCAGAAACAUGCUGUGCAUAUCCUUGAGUGGGGUAAUCGCUUUGUUCGGCGUUGUGAAGCAGUGCUUGGUGAUAUGCCUCCAGAGCACGAGUACCACGACUGGUUCAAAAGGGUGACUCGGAGGUUCAUCGAUAGGCCUGGUGCUGUAGUGACUCUGCUGAUUGAAGGAUACGUCCGUUUGUUGAGGCGUCAUCUAGUGGGCACGGAGGACCACAAUGACAUUACUGAGGUGCUGACGGCAGUGCAGGCGAUGGCACGUGUCCAACCUCCUAUCCCUGAGGCCCCGAUUGAGGAGGCAGCUAUGCCUACCGGCCCAAGCACGAGCACAGCUCCGGCCGGAUGUCAAUCCCGUCCGCCUGUUGCUACCCCUCAGCUUCUCCCUACCCCCGAUCCCUCUGCAUCCACCCCACAUGCAUCCGCCAGCCCCACCAUCCCUUCAUCCACCCCACAUCCAUCCCCUACCGUCACCAUCCCUUCACCCAACCCACAUUCAGCUCCUACGCCCACCAUCCCUUCACCUAGCCCACAUCCAGCCCCUACGCCCACCAUCCCUUCACCCACCCCCCAUCCAUCUCCUUGCCCCACCAUCCCUCCACCCACCCCACUUCCUUGUUCUGGCUCUGACGUCCGUCCACCCACCCCACAGUCAUUAGAUCAGCUGUCACCCAUUCCAUCAUUUGACCUGGGUACCCCACCUGACAUGCAGCAGGAGCCACCCUCCCAUAGUUCAUUUAGUACCCCUUCUUCAGCCAUUGACCCACCCCAUGUUCAGGCUGAGCAGGCGGUUGGGUUACCUACAGAGGCUGAAGGUCGGCCUAAACGCAUAUCAAAGGCACCUCCGUGUGGGACAGGGGGGCACAAACAUGGACACAAUGUUGGGCCCGAGGCAUCUGACGAAGGACAUGCAAGACCUCCUCCGCAUUAUACGAGACGACGUAAGAUUCAAAAAAGAUGAAGAGAUGUAUAUCAGACUCUUGGACCAAGUUCUGCAGUUGAAUCAGCCACUCUGCUGGCAUUUGGAAGUCUUUUCACCUCUCCAUAUAGAGGUUCAGAGCUGUACAUCGAUAUUCAUGAAGCUCCAAGAGAUCAGCGGAUACAGUCUUUGAUUAUUGAAUUUCUUCAUUUUGUCCCUGAAAUUUUGAGUGCAGGAAAGGAGUUUGCUGAUAAGAACAUAAAUGCCCAUUUUCUUGGUGCACAGCUCAGAUUGUUAGAUGGGCAGUUCAAGAAUCAUUGGAAAGCUACUUUUCUGAGUUUAAAACAGAAAGUAGAAUCUUUGGGACAGAGUCCACUCCCUAUUCAUAUUUUUGUGAGGACUGAUCUUCCCGAAGGUAAUUGGACUGGAAGUUACUUGGGGGAUUUGGCUAGAGAUUCACAUCAUUUUAAUCUGCAUUUUCUGAGAGAAGAAGAUGAGUUAGUAAUAAAAACAUCCAAAAAAGUUGUGGCUGCUAAGCAUAGCCUGAGGUUUGCAUUUGUUCCAGAGAGCAUGGGUGGACUAAAAAAACCAUUGCCCUUCUGAGAGAUUACCUGAUGUACUUCUAUUCAUAGAGGAAGCUUUUUGCAGCUGCGCUUCACUUGGUUUUGUUGGGACUGCGGGGUCUACUAUUGCAGAGAGUCUAGAGCUUAUGAGAAAAUUUGGCACAUGUGCAAGCCAAAGUCUGACUGCAUUGUGACAAGUGGCUUGGUAUGAUAAAAAGUAAAAACUAAACUCAUUGAAGGUGGUGUUAGUUUAUGAGAAGAAAUUUCUAUGGUUAAGGGUUGUAGAAGUAUGCUUUACAAGCCUUCCACUUGAAUAGUCUUGCAGUAAAAGAUGAUGGGACUAGCAGUCUUCGGCAAUGUCACUUAUGCUUUCUUGCGAUUCUUGUGAUCCAGCCAGCAUUUCAUCCAAAUCUUCUGUUUGUUGAAGGCACAGAAAACCGUUAAGGAAGAAAUUUCCUCAUGUCAGGAUUCAACUCCACUGAGGUUGCAGUUUAGUGAAGGUCAAUGUAAAUAUCUUACAGUCUCAAGGAGAAGAAAGAGGAUACUUCUCAGAUUUGACAUGUGAUCUGCUCUCUCCCAUUUGAUCUCCAUCCACUCAGAACAGUUAGAUCAGUUCCGAUUUCAUUGUUGAUCUCUUUUUUCCUCUUCUAGUACAUGGCUGUCUACUCGAUUAAAGCUUGGAAAGGAUGCGACACUCUACUUCUUCCAAAUUCUUACUCAAUGGGUCGACCUUUAGAUCAACCUCUCUCUCUCUUGGCCUGGUGUUCCAUGGACUGAAGACGAACAUAGGAUGUUUUUACUUGGACUACAGAAGCUUGGCAAAGGUGAUUGGCGUGGACUAGCUCGCAAUUAUGUUAUAUCAAAGACACCCACUCAAGUGGCCAGCGAUGCAUGGUUAAUUAUGUCUCCUAACACUUGGACCAAGUUCUGCAGAUGAAGAGAUGUAUAUCAGACUCCUAACAUUGUAUCUUUAGGGCCUUAUCAUAUAUUCAUCGCUGCAUUGGAGUAUGUCAUCGGGACAUUAAACCUCAAAACCUUUUGUUGAUUCUAUCAGCAAACAAUAUAUGAAGCUAUUGGCAGUCAGCAGUACAAUUGCCUGAGGGAGUGCAACAUUUUAGUUGUACCACAAUCUAGUACAGAUUAUUGGACAUAGACUUACUAAUAAUGUAUUAUAUUUGCAAACAUGUGGCUUAAUUUUAAGAGUAAGACCAUCAAUUCUGUAAGCGAGAGCACUUUGUUCUCCCUUCUGGUGAAAAGGCUGAUGAGGUUCUAAAGUAGGAUAUUUUGGAUUGUUGGACGCCAGAAAAUCACUAUCGAUGGACUGAAUCUGAGUCUUAAACAUGUUGGGUUUAGACCAUCGAUAAUGAUUUUCUGGAGUCCAGCAAUCCAGAAUAUCCGACUUUAGAACCUCAUCAGCCUUUUCAUCAGUUUCCUUGGACCCUACCUCUCACGUUCAAGUAGCUGCACUAAUGUUGGAGGUAAAUGGAUGUGGAAAUAGCACUUUGCUGACUGACACUGAUGAUGGAUAUAGAGAAACCAAGAGGGGGUGAAGUUUUGCUUGGGGAGCAUACUGUCCUGCCAAACUAUUUUGAGCAAAAUCAGGCUGAGGCACUUCAUUUGAAUAAAACAGUGCUUGAGACAGUAGUAGAAGCUGCAGAGGACUGGAGAAGUGAUGACAGAAAGGGACUCCUUGGGCGUUGUAAUAGCACUAGCGUUAUAAUAGCACACAAUGUAUAAUUGUAUCAAUAAAUUU